CUCGUUUUUUUUUUUGUCUCCCCCAAGUAAAUGGCAGACAUGUCUGCCGGGUAGCAUUUCCGCCGAUAAGGGGGAGCGGCAAGGGGGAAUGUAUCAGGUGGGUGUGUUCAGGGUAAUUUUUGGUAAAGCCAUAACGGGGUUCAACGAACUUUGGAAUUCAUUUGAGGCAUAUCCAGAAGAUAGAUCCCACAGGUUCCAUAAAAGUAAACAAAAUGUAAUCGAUGUGCUGAACCAGUCCAAAAGCUGAUGCCAUAACCGUGUACUUCAGAGCUGUUAGCCCUCCAGCCCUCUUCAGAAGCUUGUGCCAAGUCAUUCCAUUCAGAUAACGUAAUAAAAUUACAGAAUAAAUUAUCGCAUUCCACAUUCCAGCCGUAGCUACAAUCACUGAUUAAUUCAAUAUGUAACAGCAUUUGAUUAAACCCUCGACUAAGUAAUGUCUUUCUUGUUGAAAUCAUUCAAUCAAGGGUCGCCGUCGCCUGCCAAAAGGGACAAAAGAAGGCACAAAAGUUGUGCAAAACAUUUGCUUUAUGUGCAAAAGUUUUUGGCAGCAAAUUGGCUGCGGGUACCCGUAAUUGAAAGCAAAUCCAGGACCGAACUCACGGACUCAUAAAUAAUACAAUGCCAAACGGGAUAGAGGAUAGAGGAGCAGAGGCGACAAAUGGCGAGGCUCGGCUCGGCUCGGUUCAGGCUGAUGCCAGCUACCAGAUAAUUGCCGCCAAUCAAAGCUUAUUGAAACGUGACACAAGAACCUAAGCCGGGAGCAAGUCCCAACCGAUUCGAGCAGCUGCUGGCAUGCGGGAGGAGAAGCAUCCACUCCAUCCUUUGCACCAUCCUUGCCUCAUCCAUCCAUCCACCCACCCAGACCGACCUCAAUUCUUUUUGUCUGCCAGACACCGAGUCGCCUACACAAAAACUUUUCAUGCCCGACAGCAACGAAACCCAACAGAAAAAGUUACACAAAAUUCUCUGAAUGAACAGA